AGAUGAAGAACGUAGCGAAAUGCGAUACGUAAUGUGAAUUGCAGAAUUCAGUGAAUCAUCGAAUCUUUGAACGCAACUUGCGCUCCUUGGUAUUCCAUGGAGCAUGCCUGUUUGAGUGUCACGUAAACCCUCACCCUUUCGAUGUUAAAAUCGUCUUGGUGGAUUUGGAUUGUGCCGUAAUUGGCUCAUCCUGAAAUGCAUUAGCUUGCGCUUUUUACAGUGCUCGGCAUGGUGUGAUAAUUAUCUGCGCCGUCGCCUUAGGCCUGUUCUAUAUGUGCAGCUUCUAAUCGUCCCUUGUGGACAAAUUACUUAACACUUUGGCCUCAAAUCAGGUAGGACUACCCGCUGAACUUAAGCAUAUCAAUAAGCGGAGGA
rnacentral:misc_RNA from 1 species